CGGGAGGCUGAGGCAGGAGAAUUGCUUGAACCCGGGAGGUGGAGGUUGUAGUGAGCCAAGAUCGUGCCAUGUUGCACUCUAGCCUGGCAACAAGAGUGAAACUCUAUCUCAACAAAAAAUAAAUAACUUUUCAGCUGGGUGUGGUGGCUCACACCUGUAAUCCCAGCAGUUUGGAAGGCUGAGGUAGGUGGAUCACUUGAGGUCAGGAGUUCAAGACCAGCCUGACCAACAUGGUGAAAACCCAUCUCUACUAAAAAUACAAAAAUUAGCCUGGCGUGGUAGCACGUACCUGUAAUCCCAGCUACUUGGGAGGCUGAGGCAGGAGGAUCACUUGAGCCUGGGAGGCAGAGAUUACAGUGAACCCAGAUUGUACCACUGCACUAUAGGCUGGGUGACACUGCGAAACUCCAUCUCAAAAAACAAAACAAAACAAAACAAAACAAACAAACUUUUCAUUUUUCAUUUUCUGUACAUUGACAACUCUAUCAUUUGCCUUGGCGUGAUAUCUCUACUUAAGGUUGUUUCUCUCUUUCCUUUUAUUUAUAUUUAUUUAUUUAUUUAUUUAUUUUAAGAUGAAGUCUCACCCCAUCACCCAGGUUGAAGUGCAAUGGUGCGAUCUUGGCUCACUGCAACCUCAGCCUCCUGGGUUCAAGCAAUUCUCCUGUCUCAGCCUCCCGAGUACCUGGGACUACAGGUGCAUGCCACCACAACUGGCUAAUUUUUGUAUUAUUAGUAGAGACAGGGUUUCACCUUGUUGGUCAGGCUGGUCUCAAACUCCUGACCUCAGGUGAUCCGACCACCUCGGCCUCCCAAAGUGCUGAAAUUACAGGAGUGAGCCACAGCGCUGGGCCGCUUCUUAUUUUGUUGAGACAGAGUCUUGCUCUGUUGCCCAGGCUGGAGUGCAGUGGUGCGAUCUCGGCUCGCUGCAACCACCAACCCCCGGAUUCAAAUGAUUCUCCUGCCUCAGUCUCCAAAUAGUUGGGAUUACAGGCAUAUGCCACCAUGCCUGGCUAAUUUUAUAUUUUUUUUUUAGUAGAGACGGGGUUUUACCAUGUUGGCCAGGAUGGUCUCAAACUCCUGACCUCAGGUGAUCGACCUGCCUUGGCCUCCCAAAGUGGUGGGAUUACAGGCGUGAGCCACCAAGCCCAGUCUCUUCCUCUUAUACACAAAUAAAUCUGGUCUGUCAUUUAUUUUCUUUUUUUUUGAGACAGAGUUUUGCUCUUGCUGCCCAGGCUGGAGUGUAGAGGCGCGAUCUCACCUCACUGCAACCUCCACCUUCUGGUUUCGAGUGAUUCUCCUGCCUCAGCCUCCUGAGUAGCUGGGAUUACAAGUGCCCCCCACCACGCCCGGCUAAUUUUUGUAUUUUUAGUAGAGACGGGGUUUCACCAUGUUGGCCAGGAUGGUCUUGAACUCCUGACCUCGUGAUUUGCCCACCUUGGCCUCCCAAAGUGCUGGGAUUACAGGCAUGAGCCACUGUGCCCGACCCUUGUGAUUUCUUAUAAUACUGUACUUUAAUAAAGUGUCCACCUAUAUUUUCUUUUUUUUUUUUUUUUUUUUUUUUUUUUGAGACGGAGUCUCGCUCUGUCGCCCAGGCUGGAGUGCAGUGGCGGGAUCUCGGCUCACUGCAAGCUCCGCCUCCCGGGUUCACGCCAUUCUCCUGCCUCAGCCUCCCAAGCAGCUGGGACUACAGGCGCCCGCCACUACGCCCGGCUAAUUUUUUGUAUUUUUAGUAGAGACGGGGUUUCACCGUUUUAGCCAGGAUG
rnacentral:lncRNA from 1 species